CUAAUGCGGGGCUGCAUCGGCUUUCAAUCUCCAGCGAAAGGGAAUAACCCGGAGUCCCGACCCACCCCCAACGAGGCAGAUCAGGUAUUCCCGUGGGCCGUAUUACACGGUCACGUCAUCCAUCCCGUGUCGCAGGUGCGGUCCCGCAUUGCUAUGCCCCACGCGGCAGUGACGAGGAGGCACACGCCAGGUAAUCCGGUGGGCCCACCCUACCCCGCCGCACACCGGAGAGGGAGAGGCGAUACGCGUGGCCCCUGCGUACGUCAACCAACGGCCCAGAUCUCUCCGCACUCCGCACGGCACGCCGCCGCAUCGGCGUGACGAGUUGUUGUUGUUGGCUUGUUGCUGGUGCAGCCGCGCCGCGCCGCGCGUGCUCGGGUAUAAAUAUGUACACCUAGAGUCAUUGUAAAUUAUCUCUCGAUCAAUACAACUACUCUCGGCGCAUCGCUACCCUCUUUACCGAGGUUCUACUUAUCAUCCGACGGAACUUGGCACCUAAUGCGGGGCUGCAUCGGCUUUCAAUCUCCAGCGAAAGGGUAAGUCCUAUGUUCCGCCGGCCCUGGCAAUCAUAUCGGCUACAUUGGUGUUCUCUAAGGCUGCAUCGUUCUCGAUCUCUUGGAUCGCUCUGGUUUGGUUGAUAUGUUUGUCUACCUAUUUAUCAUAUAUCUUAGUUAAUCUAGUUUGGUAGCUUUAUUUACUUGUAUCGGCUAAGAUUCGCUUUAGGCUUUAUGCCGGUAUCAGCUAAAUCGCUUUGCUAGAUUAGAUUAGUUAAGGUAUUCACCACCCUGAAAAUUAGUCAAAGACUUGAUUGUUUAGACUUUAUACUUCUUUGCAUACUUUGCAAAUCAUCGUCCCUAGUCAUGCUUAGAAUCAUAAAAGUUAAUAUGUCUUUGAUUAUAAUAAGGGUUUCAUCGGGGUUUCAGCCGAUGAGUUAUAUGGAUGUUGAGCUUACAAAGAUCGCAUACAAGUUGGUUUUAGUCGAUCGCAACAAAGGUUUUAUUGUUUAUUUAAUUUUGUAGAUUUUACGACAUCAGACCUCCAGCUGAUGUAUACUUUAGUUUUCGGAUCAGUGUUUAUUCAAUCAUAUCAUUAUUGGCCGAUUGGUUUCUACUGGAUUACAUUAUUGUUUUAUUACAUUACCAUCAGCCGAUUGUCUUUAUAUCAUUAUCUAUAUUAGACAUAUAGCCGAUUACUCAAAACCCUAUUGACAUCGGCUAAUAUCGGCAUCGGAUGGAACUACUCCAUUGGCUUGUUAGCCGAUCGGCUAUUUGAUUUGCUAUUUACACAUCUUGUCAGUUGCAGGAUCAAACUGACUGGUACGUCGACAUCUCAUCAAUUUUUGGACCUGCAUUAGACCUAAGCAGAUCUCCUAGGACGUUGUGUUCGUUGACUUAGUUCGCGCCAACACAGAUCCGAUACUAUCGGCUGAGCGUGAAUUUUUCGUCAACAGUCAUGUCAGCUAAAACCACAGUUAAUACUACCGACUGACUUGAUUUA